UGGUACUCAACCAUUAUCUUACGGUAUUUAACAAAAUGUCAAUACACUCCAGCUGCAAAAUUGGUUCAGUGGUCCACGUGGACGUAUCAACAAUCCAUGUUUCCCAAAAUCGAGUAUUUUUGACGCAACUCCAUCAAGCUAACGUCAGCGUGACGUGCUAACAUACAAGUUAGCCGCUGGAGAGAACCAGAGGGGCUUCGUUAAGGGGCUGCUCAGCCCACUUGCAGCUGUGCUCCGGCCUCUGGAGACAGCUACCCGGCCCAGCUCGAUGUGCGAGUCGGAGCAUCUGAGGACACAACUUGGCCCAGGCAAAAUCCAAGUCGGACAUGGAUGCAACACAGCUGAAUAAAUGCCUGUAAGCGGAGACGCUUGAAUCUGGACCCGGUGACAGACUUGGACGAGACCCAAGCCACAGGACAAAUGAUGAGCAUAAACCUAACACCCACACACUUUACUACCAGCCACUGUGUGAAUCGGCAGCUAGCCACAGCGCCUCCACAAUAUCAUCAUGCGUUUGAGACGGAGCACAAAUGUCGCUAUCCACACGCAAGUUAAACCGAGUGCCCCAAAAGCCUUUCGAUUUAGCGUUCAAAUGGGUCAAAAUUGAGACUUCAAACCAUCAGCAUUUGUUUUGAAUAAGUGUUUUAUUUUUUCUGUAGCUUUUUUCUUUUUUUUACGAUCCCAUCGCAGAUAAGAUAAUUUGUUGCAUUUUUUUCUCAAGUGAAACAGAUUUGAGAGAAGCACGUGACUCCUUACUGCUCAGCACAAAAUGUGUGAUAAAACUGAUUGCGUUGUUUUAAUUAUCCUGACAAUACUUAUGAAAUGCUGUAAAACUGCUCUCUGCAGCGCGUUUCCCUCGGGUGUCUCAGCCAGUAGGCUAUUUUUAAACUGCUCUCUAAAAAUACAUUUUUUUGUAACUUUAUUCUUAGUUUAGGGGGCCCGGUAGUCCAGUGGUUAGCACGUCGGCUUCACAGUGCAGAUGUACCGGGUUCGAUUCCAGCUCCGGCCUCCCUGUGUGGAGUUUGCAUGUUCUCCCCGGGCCUGUGUGGGUUUUCUCCGGGUGCUCCGGUUUCCUCCCACAUUACAAA